rnacentral:lncRNA from 1 species
CACAAUACAGAAUUAAGUAUUUAAGCUAAUACAUUCAAGUUUGGUGUAAAAGCAUGUGAGAUAAACGAAUGUGAGGCACCAGUAUCAAUUAAAACAUAUGCAAGAUGAUUACAGAUAGUGUACGUACCUAUAUCACGUCUGGGUUGGCUUCUGCAUCUUGUUAAGUGAGGUUGUAAGCUCUGCCCUGCAUAGGAGGUUUGGCCUAGUUUUAAUUCCUCGGACACUCUCUUGCGUAAUACGAUAAGUAUUGUUGAGGGAAUUGCAGGGUCGAUCCCCAUGAUCCUUGCCAUAGUGCUGGCAAGUCCUACUGCAUCUUGUUGCUGGAAUUUGAGGAGAAGCCUCAGUUAUUAGCUUAGGUCUCUUAUUUUGUUGAACAGGUGUAGUGGGUGCUGGUCUGCUGUUUGAAAUUGGGGACCUGAGGUUCUCUACUACUGGAAAAAAAAUGCAAAGGUUCCUCUCUAUUAGUUGUGCCUUAGUCAGAAUGGCUGAGUAAGUACUGAGCUCGAACACAUACAACUACUGUCUAAUCUCAGGAAUGAGGCCCCACUCGAACUUUCUUGCAUUUCUGCCUUCAUCCAUCAUGAUCUCAAAGGAAUAUCAUCCCAACUUUAGGAACUUUUGGGUAUACUUUGAUACAAUCAUAUCACCCUAGAUUAGGUGUGCAAACUCCAUUUUGUUCAGAUGUCGGAGAUACUCUGGGAGGUACUCUGCAUUGAAGGCCAGAAACUAUUCUCAAGUGACUGAAACGGGCACGGUGGCCUGUUUAAGUUGCCACAAGCAACCUGCCUCUCCCACCAGCAUGUAGGUGGUGAGUAUAACUCUUUGUUCGGGAACCACUCCAAGAAUCAUGAAAGUCUUCUCUGUCUCAGCUAACGAGUACUCAGCCUCUUUAAAUGAGGAUGCUCCUACAAAUAUAUAUGAGUUUAGUCUUUUAUACCUCUCAAUGUAGCUUGGGUCUAUCAUUGGUGGAACUGGGUCCCGUGAAAGAGGGACUGGAUUGUGCUGGGGAGGGACUGGAUUGCCCUGUAGUGGUACUAAAUGAUGCGGUGGAGGCACCAAAUUGUGCUGUGGUGGUGUCGAGUGAUGCAGUUGGGGCUCCGGACCAUAUUGUGGUGGUAUCGAAUGGCAUUGUGAAUGAGUAGGGUUGUACCAAGGUGGCUCAAGAUCUUCCCGUUGUAGGAGUGGCUUAAGCUGUGUCAGUGGGGGAGGGUUAGGUAGCUCCCUCCUUUCCUCCCGGGCUUAUUGGGCAGCAAUGAGUCUCUCCAGCAUUUCAAAGAGUCAGUCAACAUCCUCUCAAAGUGAACCCUCCUAGGCUGCUCGGUUUAGUGGCUGUCUUCAUCUCCUCAUCUACCUGUACCUGCAUUUCACAAGGAACGGUUGAGCGAUAGGUCAUUUUUUUUGUGUUUCCUUAGGUUUUUGUGUAAGGAGUAAUUUCGAGAAACACGAUUCUGAUACUAACUGUAAAGGUCCAUAAC